rnacentral:rRNA from 1 species
UACAGAGGUCUCAAGCGUUGUUCGGAUUCAUUGGGCGUAAAGGGUGCGUAGGCGGCGCGGUAAGUCGGGUGUGAAAUCUCGGGGCUCAACCCCGAGCGGUCGUGAGAAACUGGCAGGCUAGAGUGCGGGAGAGGAGAGUGGAAUUCCUGGUGUAGCGGUGAAAUGCGCAGAUAUCAGGAAGAACACCCGUGGCGAAGGCGGCUCUCUGGGACGGUACUGACGCUGAGACGCGAAAGCGUGGGGAGCGAACAGG